rnacentral:tRNA from 1 species
GGAGAGAUGCCGGAGCGGUUGAACGGGGCGGUCUCGAAAACCGUUGUAGGAUUUCAUCCUACCGUGGGUUCGAAUCCCACUCUCUCCG